rnacentral:rRNA from 1 species
UACAGAGGUCCCGAGCGUUGUUCGGAUUCACUGGGCGUAAAGGGUGCGUAGGUGGCAUGGAAAGUUUGAUGUGAAAGCUCAGGGCUUAACCCUGAAAUGGCAUUGAAUACUGCCGUGCUGGAGGUCUGGAGGGGGGACUGGAAUUCUUGGUGUAGCAGUGAAAUGCGUAGAUAUCAAGAGGAACACCAGUGGCGAAGGCGAGUCCCUGGACAACACCUGACACUGAGGCACGAAAGCUAGGGGAGCAAACAGG